rnacentral:rRNA from 1 species
UGCGUAGGUGGCCUGGAAAGUUUGAUGUGAAAGCUCGGAGCUUAACUCCGAAAUGGCAUUGAAUACUACUGGGCUUGAGGGUCGGAGGGGAGACUGGAAUUCUCGGUGUAGCAGUGAAAUGCGUAGAUAUCGAGAGGAACACCAGUGGCGAAGGCGAGUCUCUGGACGACCCCUGACACUGAGGCACGAAAGCUAGGGAGCAAACA